CCCUCUUCCAAGACUUCUCCUAACACCUUUUAUAGAAAUUGAUUUUGGCUCACAAGAAAAGUUUGUCAAGCUUUCUGAUAACCGGUCCAAAGACCUGUUGCUAAGGCAUCACUAACUAUCGAUGUUGGCUGUAAAGAGAACCUGCUUUACCAGAUAUGGCUGCAGAUGUUAAAAGUAAUUGUGAAUAAAAUAGUUUAAUGAAUGCAUAUUGCAUCAAUUAAUUCAUUCUGUACUACUGACAAUAACAGUCAAGCCCAAUUCCCCACAGGCAAAAAUGGAAAAUAUAGAGGAAGUCUCAGUCUCUGGAGAUUAUGUGAGGUGUUCCCUUCCAUGGUACAUUACAAUCCCACCCAUUUUUAUUAUGAUGCAAUGGCUUAGCAUGUGCAUUCAGUGAAUAAUCUAUUUUAGAGCAAAGUGGCGC